rnacentral:ribozyme from 1 species
UGCCCAGCAAGUCCUAUCCCUACCUCCUCGUGGUACCGGCCGGAAACUAUGAGUAACCUUAGAGAAGAUCGGGUAACCAACCCCGGUGGGAACUUGGGUCAUAGGCUGACAGGGAAGG